AGCUUUAAGUAAUUCAUUUAAGGUACACCCUGCUCAAGAGAAAUUAAAUAGCCGCAGUACCCUGACWGUGCWAAGGUAGCGUAAUCAGUUGGCUUAUAAUUGAAGUCUAGUAUGAAUGGGAACUCGGGGAUAUUCUGUCUUUUAUUUACGAUUUGAAAUUACUAAUUAAGUGAAAAUUCUUAACCUUUCAGAAAAAAGACGAGAAGACCCUAGAAAUUUUUUAUUAUAUAUUUUGUUGGGGCGACWAGGUAACAUAAAACUUACCUAUGCAAUAGGAAAUUUUUUAGUUGGGUAAAUAAAUUACUCUAGGGAUAACAGCAUAAUAUUUUAAAGUUUGUGACCUCGAUGUUGGACUAGGAAAUACCCUACUUAAAAGGUAGUUUAUAUAGUUCUGUUCGAACUUUUUCUCCUACAUG
rnacentral:rRNA from 1 species